UACGAAGGGGGCUAGCGUUGCUCGGAAUUACUGGGCGUAAAGGGAGCGUAGGCGGAUAGUUUAGUCAGAGGUGAAAGCCCAGGGCUCAACCCUGGAAUUGCCUUUGAUACUGGCUAUCUUGAGUGUGGGAGAGGUUAGCGGAACUCCGAGUGUAGAGGUGAAAUUCGUAGAUAUUCGGAAGAACACCAGUGGCGAAGGCGGCUAACUGGCCCAUUACUGACGCUGAGGCUCG
rnacentral:rRNA from 1 species